GGGCGAAUAGCUCAGCUGGGAGAGCGCCUGCCUUACAAGCAGGAUGUCGGGGGUUCGAACCCCUCUUCGCCCACCA
rnacentral:tRNA from 1 species